rnacentral:rRNA from 1 species
UACGUAGGGGGCAAGCGUUGUCCGGAUUUAUUGGGCGUGAAGAGCGUGUAGGCGGCCAGAUAGGUCUGUUGUGAAAACUCGAGGCUCAACCUCGAGACGCCGAUGGAAACCAUUUGGCUAGAGUCCGGAAGAGGAGAGUGGAAUUCCUGGUGUAGCGGUGAAAUGCGCAGAUAUCAGGAAGAACACCCGUGGCUAAGGCGGCUCUCUAGUACGGUACUGACGCUGAGACGCGAAAGCGUGGGGAGCGAACAGG